CUAAAUCACAUUCAAUUUGCAACUAAAUUAUCUGGUAAUUAAUAUAAAGAUGAUACUACUUUCAUAAAAUAAUUACCAAAAGUGAUCAACAACAGUUACUUGCACCGCACAUCAAUAAUGUAAGCGAGUCACAGUAUUGUGUUCAUAAACCCUUAGCAAAAAAACUACAUAUCACUAAUAACCCUCGACUGUAAUGUAAAAUUUUAUUGACAUUCCCAGCAAAAGAUAUAUGGUCAAUCUGUACAUCGUCAAAAAUCUGCUUCUUGUAAACCUCACUAUCCAAAACCUGUAAAAGAAAUAAAAAAUUUCAUUUAGAAAAAUUAUAACAGUGUAGACGCAAAAAAAUCAGGGCUAGACAGAAGAUUAUAAAAAUAACAAAGAAAAAAGAAGCAACAAGAAACAAAUGGCUAGACACUAUUGUUCCAUUACAUCACUUGGACAAAGAAUUGAGACAAAUAGUGCAGUCUGUUAUAUUCGUGGGUUGGUCAAAGGAAAGAUUAUUGAGGUGAAUGGCAUUAUUUGAAAUAUCCAUUUUUGGUGAUAUCCAAAUUUACUGAGAGGGGAAUGGUGGUUCCAAUUUGCAAAACAGAGGUUAUAAAAGAUGAUCAUAAUCUAAAUUGGAAACCAGUUUCAGUGAAUAUUCAACAAGUUGGAAGUAAGGUAAAAGAACUGUUCUUCCAUGUCCUUCCUAGGCAAAUUUCUGAGACCAUCCCCUAAAAUGUAGAACCUUGGAAGGGAGGGACAGGAAAACCUAUGAAUCAGAUUUUUCUAUGAGCUAGUGUGCCUCUUUUUGGGAUCAUGUGCUAUUUCAUGUGAAUCAGAUGUCGGUAGCAAGUGUGGAAUUGCUAGAAUUUUCUGUAUGAAUUAUGAAAUUUGUGAAAAAGAAAUACUUUUGAUGUAGCCUAUAGUCAUAGUUUCUUUAGAUUGCUAACUCAAUGGUAGAUAACUCGGCUUUUUAAGUGUAGCUAGUUAUCAUUUACAACACCGAGAAUAAUUUUCAUGUAUUUUCUCUUUAAUUUAACAUGGUAUUUGUGGCCAUGUUUAUCUAAUCAAUAUCAAGUUAAUCAGUAAUUACAUAUAAAUUUAACUUAUAUACACUAACAACGUAAUGAACUUUACAUUAGUAAUGUAUUUUAACCUUUUUAUACACACCAAAGGUAAAGCGAAGACAACUAAAAGCACCUCCAGCAACAUGGACAUCAACAGAGAACUUAGUAUAGCAACUAUUAGAAAGAAGUACUAAUAUAGCAGCAAUUCUAUAUGAGUUAAAAACAGAAGGCCAGAAGUUUUACGAGCAACUGAACCAGUAGUAACAAAAACUCCAACACAAAGCAUUCCUCCAACUCCAAAAGCUACUAAAUCAUACCAUGUGAGUUUUCUUUUCAUGUCAGCACCAGACCUUAGCCUCACUUUGUUAAGCUCGGUCUGGUGUCAACACCAGAGAACUCAGUAUAGCACCAGAGAAAGUCAGUGCACAAUACUAAACCACUAACGUACAUUAAGAAAUCAGUAAUACGACAAAUAACUAUGCAUAACCAGCAAAUUCGUAAUCGACAGAAGAUGUAAAUUCCACAAAUGAUAUAUAACAACAUACACUUAAAUCAACAAAAUAAAUUGAUGUUUCGGCUAAGAUGUUACUCACUUGGUGUCAUCAAGAAUCGGAAUAGUCAUUCUCCUGAACUAGAUGCUGGAAAUUAGUCUGUUGCGCUAAUAUGAGAAAUUAAAACACAUAAGACACUUUAAAGUUAAAUCACUAAUUUUGUGUCGUAUUUUUCUUAAAUAAACAAAAUGAUACAAUAGCUAUCAUUCUAUUGUUCAAAAACUGUAAUGAUUGUUAUCUUAUGAGACACUAACUAUAUUUAUCACUUUUGUUUAAUCAAGAACUAGCUUCAUUUGAUCAAGAACUAGCUAUAUUUGUCACUUUACACUAGCUAUAUUUUCUACCUUCUAUAUCUUAAUUUCCAGCUUCAUACCCCACUAGGAUUACUGCACCUAUAGUUAGUUGCUUUGUCACUUCAGUUUUUAUUGUGAAGAAGAAGAAGAAGAAAAAAAAAAAACCAAACAAAUGAAGAAAUUUAUAUGCCCUUGUAGUGGAUACAAACUGAAUUUGAAAUUGAAAUACAAAAAUAACAUUUUCAUCUGGGGGUAAACAAUAUAUAUUAAAGUGUUAAAGGUCUCAUAUUCAAUCUCAAGAUUUUAUUUCAAAAUAAGAAACAUCUUUAGAAAAAAUACAAGAAAUCCUUAUCCAUAUUGAGGGUGCAACCUCGUAAUGUUCAGUGGUACAAGAAACUAGGCAAGAUGGUAUUUGUUCCAAUAGGUACAAAAUUCCUUCCGGCAGGGGAUGUUUUUGCCUUACCAGCUUCAAGAUAAAAGUAAUAAAAGAACUCUACGUCUUGAUCAUGCUUCUUGAUCUCUUGUCUUAGUCCGUCAACCAUAUCAGAGAUUUAACACCUUGCCAUACACCAAAAGUACGCACUUCUUUCUAUUAUCUUUUCAACAGUAGUUUUUAUUUAAAAUAUCCCCUUGUUUUAGGUGUCCCUUACACAACAGUAGCUAGGUUGAUAUGUAAAGUAGGGAGAAUAUCUCAUACCAACACCCAAAUCUAUAUUGUUGAUCAACUUUGAGGGACUAUCACUUCUGAUUCUAUAGAAUAUUUUAUACUUAGAUUUCCUGAACCUAAUUAAUUGGCUAUACUAAUGAAUGUUUUAUAACUAUUAACAAAACUAAUUAAUUGGCUAUACUAAUCUGCUCCAUCAAAAAUAUUCUUCUUCAAUCAAAACAAAACUUACAUUAUAACUAGAAUCAAAAUAGAGCCUAUAUUAUAAUGCUCAAAACAUUGACCUUAUUUUGGAGGGAGUAGUUCGCGACAGAGUAAAUGCAAGCAUUGACAGCGAAGAGCUUCGACGAGCGAGUCCAUCACUUCAACUAGAGUGCUAUUGACUAAGUAGAUUCAAUGGCAAAACUCAAUGGAAUGUUUUCAUCAGAAAAUUUAUUUGACAAAGCUAAUUUGCAUCACUGUUUCUUCUUCAUCUAAUUAUUUUUUUAAAUAUUAGAUUAGAAUUAGUGACUUACCAAAGGUAAUAAGUUGGCUAUACAAUUUAAAGAACCCAUAAAAAAUCAGAGUAACGAAACUGAAAUAGAGCACCUAAUGGUAAAAAAAAUCCAGCCAAUUCAUCACCUCAUAUGAAAAAUCACUAGACAUCCUACAAAAUUUUCGUGACCCUUCAAGAAAGUCCCCAGAGGAGUUGUAUAAUGCAAAUCGCAAAGGAGAAAACCAUCGCAUAGAUGAAACUCUACAAACUUCUCAUAUAAAGGCCAACUCAUUCUAAAUAUCUAAUCUAAGUCUAAAACUGCUGCUUUUCAAAAUUUUCCUAAAGAAAAGAGGGGUGCAUAUAUUAAAACUGUGCAACUGCCUUUCUCUGAUUCCAUGUAUAAAAGAAAAAGGUUACCUCUUCCCCACCUAGCUUCAUUCUCUUUGGAGCAGGAGCUUCCAACAUUCACCCAAACCUCCAUUAUUUGGACAUAUCGUGCAGGAAGGGACAAGUGGUGCCAUUUAGGCAUCCCUUGGUGUGUUGAAGAAAACGCAAUGCUUCUCAAAAUUCAGGCUUNNNNNNNNNNNNNNNNNNNNNNNNNCCCUGAUUUGGUUUUAGGUUCUUUAACGAUUUUGGUCAAAAUUUCUCAUCCUUGACCUAUGUGCCCCAACUUUAAACCCAAUACUCUCACUUUUAUCACUCACAUAAUAACUAUCAGUACUCAAAACAACCCAAUUGCAGAAAAAAACUAAAAAAACAGAAAAAUUGCAGAACCCGAUUCCGAUUUCUGGUUCAAAGGAAAAAAAAGCGCGAAGAAGAAAAAGAUAAAAGAGAAAGAAAUUAAACUUACUCUUGAUUUGCGGACAAUCCAAUGGUAGAGUUUGUGUAGAGUCGCUUAGAGAGAUGAAAACCUUCUGAGUUUUGAAUGAUGAAGUUGCAACCUUCUGAAUUCUGAUGAAGUUUAUUAGUCGCCGCUUAGGGAUUUUAGCGUGAAAGGAAUUUUUGGAGGGAUUUUAGGGUGAAAGUGAAUUUUUGGAGAGAUUUUACCGUGGAAGUAAAUUUUUGGAGCAUUCAGUGUUUUACUUUAAUUUCAGGUUCGCGCCUCUAUCCCGCUGGAAUUGCGUAUUAGAGACCAGAU
rnacentral:lncRNA from 1 species